GGUCUUAGCUUGCUAAGACUGAUGGCGACCGGCGCACGGGUGAGUAACACGUAUCCAACCUGCCGUCUACUCUUGGACAGCCUUCUGAAAGGAAGAUUAAUACAAGAUGGCAUCAUGAGUCCGCAUGUUCACAUGAUUAAAGGUAUUCCGGUAGACGAUGGGGAUGCGUUCCAUUAGAUAGUAGGCGGGGUAACGGCCCACCUAGUCUUCGAUGGAUAGGGGUUCUGAGAGGAAGGUCCCCCACAUUGGAACUGAGACACGGUCCAAACUCCUACGGGAGGCAGCAGUGAGGAAUAUUGGUCAAUGGGCGAGAGCCUGAACCAGCCAAGUAGCGUGAAGGAUGACUGCCCUAUGGGUUGUAAACUUCUUUUAUAAAGGAAUAAAGUCGGGUAUGGAUACCCGUUUGCAUGUACUUUAUGAAUAAGGAUCGGCUAACUCCGUGCCAGCAGCCGCGGUAAUACGGAGGAUCCGAGCGUUAUCCGGAUUUAUUGGGUUUAAAGGGAGCGUAGAUGGAUGUUUAAGUCAGUUGUGAAAGUUUGCGGCUCAACCGUAAAAUUGCAGUUGAUACUGGAUAUCUUGAAGUGCAGUUGAGGCAGGCGGA
rnacentral:rRNA from 1 species